rnacentral:rRNA from 1 species
UGAGGAAUAUUGCACAAUGGGCGCAAGCCUGAUGCAGCGACGCCGCGUGUGGGAUGAAGGGGCUACGCCUCGUAAACCACUGUAGCCCGGGACGAAAAACGCCUUAGAGGCGUUAGACGGUACCGGGAAAGUAAGGGUCGGCUAACUACGUGCCAGCAGCCGCGGUAAUACGUAGGCAGCAAGCGUUGUUCGGAGUUACUGGGCGUAAAGAGUGCGUAGGCGGUUUUCUAAGUUCGGUGUGAAAUCUCCCGGCUUAACUGGGAGGGUGCGCCGAAGACUGGGAAGCUGGAGUGUGGGAAAGGCAGGCGGAAUUCCUGGUGUAGCGGUGAAAUGCGUAGAUAUCAGGAGGAACACCGGCGGUGUAGACGGCUUGCUAGACCAUAACUGACGCUGAGGCACGAAAGCGUGGGUAGCAAACA